GAUACCGUAGUCCAUGCCGUAACGAUGGCACUAGGUGUCGGAGAGCUACCCUUCGGUGCCGCAAGCUAACGCAUUAAGUGCCCACCUGGGAGUACGAUCGCAAGGUGAAACUCAAGGAAUUGACGGGGGCCCGCACAAGCGGUGGAGCAUGUGGUUUAAUUCGAUGCAACGCGAAGAACCUUACCUGGACUUGACAUGUAGGAGACAGCCGUAGAAAUACGGUUUCCUUCGGGUUCCUACACAGGUGCUGCAUGGCUGUCGUCAGCUCGUGUCGUGAAAUGUUGGGUUAAGUCCCGCAACGAGCGCAACCCUUGUCCUUAGUUGCCAUCAGGUAAUGCUGGGAACUCUAAGGAGACUGCCGGUGACAAACCGGAGGAAGGUGGGGACGACGUCAAGUCAUCAUGGCCCUUACGUCCAGGCUACACACGUGCUACAAUGGCCGGUACAAAGAGCAGCGAGGCAGCGAUGCCGAGCGAAUCUCAAAAAGCCGGUCUCAGUUCGGAUUGUAGUCUGCAACU
rnacentral:rRNA from 1 species